ACUCAACCCAUGAAAGUAGACACCCCACCAUAAGGGGAUGAGCGAAAUCAUGGGUUUUUUG
rfam:Staphylococcus chromogenes MT 970 SCHR_MT970Contig05, whole genome shotgun sequence.